rnacentral:misc_RNA from 1 species
GUACCUUCAAGCUCUGCUUGGUGAUGGGUGUUUGUCCUAUCCUUUAGUGAUUGGACUCGCCUUAAAAUUAUUGGCAGCCGGCAUAUUGGCCUUUGGAGCGCAGCACAUUUUGCGAUCUAAGCCUGUAUACUGGUAUCCAUCAAGCCUAAUUUAUCAC